UACGAAGGGGGCUAGCGUUGCUCGGAAUUACUGGGCGUAAAGGGCGCGUAGGCGGCUGUUUAAGUCGGGGGUGAAAGCCCGGGGCUCAACCUCGGAAUUGCCUUCGAUACUGGACAUCUUGAGUACGGGAGAGGUGAGUGGAACUCCGAGUGUAGAGGUGAAAUUCGUAGAUAUUCGGAAGAACACCAGUGGCGAAGGCGACUCACUGGCCCGGUACUGACGCUGAGGCGCGAAAGCGUGGGGAGCAAACAGG
rnacentral:rRNA from 1 species